UACGUAGGAGACGAGCGUUGUCCGGAAUUACUGGGCGUAAGCGCGUGUAGGCGGAUGGGCAAGUCUGCUGUGAAAGCUCCUGGCUUAACCGGGAGUGGUCGGUGGAAACUGCCAAUCUGGAGGACGGUAGAGGUAGGUAGAAUUCCCGGUGUAGUGGUGAAAUGCGUAGAGAUCGGGAGGAAUACCUGUGGCGAAGGCGGCCUACUGGGCCGGACCUGACGCUGAGACGCGAAGGCGUGGGGAGC
rnacentral:rRNA from 1 species